rnacentral:rRNA from 1 species
UGGGGAAUAUUGGACAAUGGGCGAAAGCCUGAUCCAGCCAUGCCGCGUGUGUGAAGAAGGUCUUCGGAUUGUAAAGCACUUUAAGUUGGGAGGAAGGGUUGUAGAUUAAUACUCUGCAAUUUUGACGUUACCGACAGAAUAAGCACCGGCUAACUCUGUGCCAGCAGCCGCGGUAAUACAGAGGGUGCAAGCGUUAAUCGGAAUUACUGGGCGUAAAGCGCGCGUAGGUGGUUAGUUAAGUUGGAUGUGAAAUCCCCGGGCUCAACCUGGGAACUGCAUUCAAAACUGACUGACUAGAGUAUGGUAGAGGGUGGUGGAAUUUCCUGUGUAGCGGUGAAAUGCGUAGAUAUAGGAAGGAACACCGGUGGCGAAGGCGACCACCUGGACUGAUACUGACACUGAGGUGCGAAAGCGUGGGGAGCAAAACAGGAUUAGAUACCCUGGUAGUCCACGCCGUAAACGAUGUCAACUAGCCGUUGGGGAGCCUUGAGCUCUUAGUGGCGCAGCUAACGCAUUAAGUUGACCGCCUGGGGAGUACGGCCGCAAGGUUAAAACUCAAA